rnacentral:rRNA from 1 species
GAUGAACGCUGGCGGCGUGCCUAAUACAUGCCAGUCGAGCGAACAGACGAGGAGCUUGCUCCUCUGACGUUAGCGGCGGACGGGUGAGUAACACGUGGAUAACCUACCUAUAAGACUGGGAUAACUUCGGGAAACCGGAGCUAAUACCGGAUAAUAUAUUGAACCGCAUGGUUCAAUAGUGAAAGACGGUUUUGCUGUCACUUAUAGAUGGAUCCGCGCCGCAUUAGCUAGUUGGUAAGGUAACGGCUUACCAAGGCAACGAUGCGUAGCCGACCUGAGAGGGUGAUCGGCCACACUGGAACUGAGACACGGUCCAGACUCCUACGGGAGGCAGCAGUAGGGAAUCUUCCGCAAUGGGCGAAAGCUUGACGGAGCAAUGCCGCGUGAGUGAUGAAGGUCUUCGGAUCGUAAAACUCUGUUAUUAGGGAAGAACAAAUGUGUAAGUAACUAUGCACGUCUUGACGGUACCUAAUCAGAAAGCCACGGCUAACUACGUG